AUGCAAUAGAAGUAUAGAACUAAUAUUGUUAGCAAAGUUCUAGGUUAUCAGAGAUCUGGGAAGUACUUUUUUUUGGCCUAAAUAUCAGGAAUUUAUUUAUUUUUUCUUUACUAAAGAAGUUGUGGAUUAACAGAGCGAUCAUGCAUAAAAUAAAGGUUUCCUAUAUUUCCACCCCACCACCAAACCGGAGAUACUUUUGAUGCAGAAAAGGAAGAGAAGAAAUUCAGUAGGAUAUUUCCAACAGCUGACAAUCAGAAAUAAAAGAGAUAGGAAUAAAGACCACCCCAAGCAUGCAGGUAUGUUUGGCCAGAAGGUAAUUUUUAAAAUAUCC
rnacentral:lncRNA from 1 species